GGCCCGCUGGCCAAAUGGUAAGGCGUCGGAUUCCAGAAAAAUUCGAGUUUCCCGAAGAUUAAGCGUUCGAUUCGCUUGUGGGUCA